CCUUUUGCGACGCAGUUCGCGCGUGCGGGAUUGAGACGCCUGUAGGGUCGCGUGGGACAGCCUUAUUCCAGCUUGGGAUGAUGUGCUACCACGGGCAGCUAGGCGGCGAGACGCCUGUAGGGUCGUGUAGGACAGUCCCGUUCCUCGAGGGGGAAUGUUGGUACUACCACCGGCAGCUAGGCGGUACAAGCUGGACUACCUUGCGUAGGUCCUUAAUUGAAAAUGGAAAUCGACAUGGAGCCGUUUAUGUAAUAAUCACUACUUGAUAAUACAUCGUAGUUGGAUUCAGUGGACAUUGGGACAUAUAGUGUACUUGGUCGCUAUGAUAGUACAUACUAGAUAUAUUUUGGACACUUGGACAUGUAGUAUACUUGAUAGUAUUGCUUGUUGCAUCAUAGUAUACUUGGUAGCCAUGAUAGAGUAUACUUGUUAUGUAUUGGUAUUUUGGAUUCAUGAUAGUUUAGAUGUUCAUCAUGUUGACAUCAUCUUAUAUCGUGGCAUAGUAGUAUAGCAUUUAUUAUAUGCUUUCUUUCC
rnacentral:lncRNA from 1 species